rnacentral:rRNA from 1 species
AGCAGCCGCGGUAAUUCCAGCUCCAAUAGCGUAUAUUAAAGUUGUUGCAGUUAAAAAGCUCGUAGUUGAAUUUCGGGGUUAGUAGGUUGGUCAUGCCUCUGGUAUGUACUGGUCUCACUGAUUCCUCCUUCCUGAUGAGCCGUAAUGCCAUUAAUUUGGUGUUGCGGGGAAUUUGGACUGUUACUUUGAAAAAUUAGAGUGUUUAAAGCAGGCAUUUUUGCUUGAAUACAUUAGCAUGGAAUAAUAAAAUAGGACGGCAUGGUUCUAUUUUGUUGGUUUCUAGGACCACCGUAAUGAUUAAUAGGGAUAGUUGGGGGCAUUAGUAUUCAAUUGUCAGAGGUGAAAUUCUUGGAUUUAUUGAAGACUAACUACUGCGAAAGCAAUUUGCCAAGGAUGUUUUCAUUAAUCAAGAACGAAAGUUAGGGGAUCGAAGACGAUCAGAUACCGCCGUAGUCUUAACCAUAAACUAUGCCG